rnacentral:misc_RNA from 1 species
AUUCGUCGGUUCAGCGACGAUAAGCCGAGAAGUGCCAAUAAAACUGUUAAGUGGUUUGGUAACGCUCGGUAAGGUAGCCAAAAGGCUGAAACUCCGUGCACAAAGACCGCACGGACGCUUCACAUAUAGCUCAUAAACAAGGGUUUGCGAGCUAGCUUGUGGAGUGUGAACCUGGCGUUUUUCCAUAGGCU